rnacentral:rRNA from 1 species
AAGCCAUGCAUGUCUAAGUAUAAACUUUUAUACGGUUAAACUGCGAAUGGCUCAUUAUAACAGUUAUAGUUUACUUGAUAAUCUUUUACUUACAUGGAUAACCGUGGUAAUUCUAGAGCUAAUACAUGCGAAAAAACUCGACUUUAUGGAAGGGUUGUAUUUAUUAGAUAAAGAACCAAUAUAAUUGGUGACUCAUAAUAACUUUACGGAUCACAAUUAAUGUGACAUAUCAUUCAAGUUUCUGACCUAUCAGCUUUAAACGGUAGGGUAUUGGCCUACCGUGGCAAUGACGGGUAACGGGGAAUUAGGGUUCGAUUCCGGAGAGGGAGCCUGAGAAACGGCUACCACAUCUAAGGAAGGCAGCAGGCGCGCAAAUUACCCAAUCCUAAUACAGGGAGGUAGUGACAAGAAAUAACAAUACAGGACUUUUUGGUUUUGUAAUUGGAAUGAGUUAAGUAUAAACCCCUUUACAAGUAUCAAUUGGAGGGCAAGUCUGGUGCCAGCAGCCGCGGUAAUUCCAGCUCCAAUAGCGUAUAUUAAAGUUGUUGCAGUUAAAAAGCUCGUAGUUGGAUUUCUGUUAAUAAUUUAUAUAAAAUAUUUUGAUGAAUAUUUAUAUAAUAUUAACAUAAUUCAUAUUACUAUUUUUUUUUUUAGUAUAUGAAAUUUUACUUUGAGAAAAUUAGAGUGCUUAAAGCAGGCAUAUGCCUUGAAUACUCCAGCAUGGAAUAAUAUUAAAGAUUUUUAUCUUUCUUAUUGGUUCUAAGAUAAGAAUAAUGAUUAAUAGGGACAGUUGGGGGCAUUUGUAUUUAACAGUCAGA